UGACAUUAAAACUCAACACACAGAAUGGUGCCGAUUGAAAUUUUAUAUGCCUCCCUUAGGGCAAAGAACAGAGCUGGCAAGCAAGUGUGAGAUGAAUAAUGAAACUCUAUCUAUCUAUCUAUCUAUCUAUCUAUCUAUCUAUCUAUCUAUCUAUCUAUCUAUCUAUCUAGUGAUAUAUUUAUGUAAAUAUCUAUCUAUAUGUCCUCCAUUCUGUCUGUCUUUCUAUAUUCUCAUUCUUUAUUUAAUAUGGAACUCUCUUUUCUUUCCCUGGUGUUCCUCUAAGUGAAACACUGGUGUGGAGGCAAUGGAACACCAAGAGAUCUGUGUGAGGUGAUAUUUAUAAAACACAGACAGACAAUCCAAAACAUGAUGCAAAGUCGAGAUCAGAAACAGAGCAGAGAUUCAGGUGAACAGCAAACCACGUACAACAGGCAAAAUCCAGAAAUUGUG
ensembl:lncRNA